rnacentral:rRNA from 1 species
UACGGGAGGCAGCAGUGGGGAAUAUUGCACAAUGGGCGCAAGCCUGAUGCAGCGACGCCGCGUGAGGGAUGGAGGCCUUCGGGUUGUAAACCUCUUUUAUCGGGGAGCAAGCGUGAGUGAGUUUACCCGUUGAAUAAGCACCGGCUAACUACGUGCCAGCAGCCGCGGUAAUACGUAGGGUGCAAGCGUUAUCCGGAAUUAUUGGGCGUAAAGGGCUCGUAGGCGGUUCGUCGCGUCCGGUGUGAAAGUCCAUCGCUUAACGGUGGAUCCGCGCCGGGUACGGGCGGGCUUGAGUGCGGUAGGGGAGACUGGAAUUCCCGGUGUAACGGUGGAAUGUGUAGAUAUCGGGAAGAACACCAAUGGCGAAGGCAGGUCUCUGGGCCGUUACUGACGCUGAGGAGCGAAAGCGUGGGGAGCGAACAGGAUUAGAUACCCUGGUAGUCCACGCCGUAAACGGUGGAUGCUGGAUGUGGGGCCCGUUCCACGGGUUCCGUGUCGGAGCUAACGCGUUAAGCAUCCCGCCUGGGGAGUACGGCCGCAAGGCUAAAACUCAAAGAAAUUGACGGGGGCCCGCACAAGCGGCGGAGCAUGCGGAUUAAUUCGAUGCAACGCGAAGAACCUUACCUGGGCUUGACAUGUUCCCGACGGCCGUAGAGAUACGGCUCCCUUCGGG